rnacentral:lncRNA from 1 species
UCACACUAUCAAGGAAAACUUCAAAGCACUCGAGCAAAAAAAUGGUUCUACCAUCAACUCUUGCCGUCCCAAAAACCUUUAAUGACCUUGAAAGAGAUUUUUUAUAACAACAAACUUUUUGUUAGGUGGAUUCAUUGUUGGGAAACCCGCAACUUUCAAAAACCAAACUUAUUCAUGGGAAUUGAAUUGCUUUUCAUAGACUCAAAGGUAUUCUUACAAAUUUAAAUUAAUCUAAUCCAUAAUUUUAUUGUUAAUAUUCGUACUAGCUCUUUCAUGAUCAAACCAUUACAGUUAAUAAUCAUUCAAG